rnacentral:rRNA from 1 species
UACGUAGGGUGCAGGCGUUAAUCGGAAUUACUGGGCGUAAAGCGCGCGCAGGCGGUUUCUUAAGUCAGAUGUGAAAGCCCCGGGCUUAACCUGGGAACUGCGUUUGAAACUGGGAGACUUGAGUGUGGCAGAGGGGGGUGGAAUUCCACGUGUAGCAGUGAAAUGCGUAGAUAUGUGGAGGAACACCAAUGGCGAAGGCAGCCCCCUGGGUCAACACUGACGCUCAUGCACGAAAGCGUGGGGAGCAAACAGG